rnacentral:rRNA from 1 species
AUUGAACGCUGGCGGCAGGCCUAACACAUGCAAGUCGAACGAGUGGCGGACGGGUGAGUAAUGUCUGGGAAACUGCCUGAUGGCGGGGGAUAACUACUGGAAACGGUAGCUAAUACCGCAUACCAUCAGAUGUGCCCAGAGGGGAGUAGAUGGUUGGUGGGGUAACGGCUCACCAAGGCGACGACCCCUAGCUGGUCUGAGAGGAUGACCAGCCACAUUGGAACUGUGACACGGUCCAGACUCCGACGGGAGGCAGCAGUGGGGAAGAUGGGACAAUGGGCGCACGCCUGAUGCAGCCAUGCCGAGUGUAUGAAGAAGGCCUUCGGGUUGUAAAGUACUUUCAGCGGGGAGGCGUUACCCGCAGAAGAAGCGCCGGCUAACUCCGUGCCAGCCGCCGCGGUAAUAC